UACUUGUUGAUUUAAACCCAGCGAGUUCAGUUGAAAAAUUAACUCGCACAUACGCGCAAGAAAACAACGCAUUUUGGGUAUUUUUGAAGUGGGUUAGAGUGUUGUUUCAAUCCUAAUGAUUAAUUAACACGUCGCGCAGCCCUUUCACAGUACGCGGAACAACGAGGUAUUUAAAGCAAUAAGCCAAUCGUUCCUUCAACCUUCAACCGCCCUCGUCGGCCUCAUCGUGCGUUAAUAACGAAAGGGGUGACGUGACGCACCCUCUGCGCGCUAAGAACAUGUGCAUAAACUUUGAACAAUAAGCGAUGACAAGAUGGCGACGAGAACCGCAAUGCAAUCAGUCAACAUCAUCAAAAAUUUGAAACAAAGAAAAAAAUACAAAGAGGUUAUGUUCUGUUGGAAUGAAAAUCUUUGAUGGUGAAAUUAAACGCGAUUGACUUACGAGCAAUUUGCAACGGUUCAGGCCCAGAAUGAUAAAAUAAAAAUCGAAAAACUAGAAUCGCGAUUUUCUCGCUUUUCCACCCUCCGAUGGCAAUCAAAGCGAUAUGAUAUCGUGUGAGACGAGCGCCGAGAUGAAAAGUAACCCGCGAACAAAUAAUGGACGCACACACAAAAACGCGCCCGAACGGAAUAUAAGAAAACAGGAAAAUGCGGGCGCACGAGAAAAAAAUCAUCAAACCACCAGAGAAAUAAAUAAAAUGAGAUCAAAUAACAUCAGAGUCGAGAAGCGAAGAAAUUCGAAGUCGUGAUAAACGAUGCUAUGAUUAUUGAAUUAUUGCGCAAUUAAUUAGUGCACUAAUAGAAUAAAUAUAUAACGUAUAUACAGUG